AGUGAACGCUGGCGGUAGGCCUAACACAUGCAAGUCGAACGGCAGCAUCGUAAGUCCUUGCUCUUACGUGUGUCGCGUGUCGGACGGUUGAGUAAUACUUCGGAAUCUACUUUUUCGUGGGUGCUAACGUAGGGAAACUUACUCUAAUCCCGCAUACGACCUACUUGUGAAAGCACGGGUUCUUCUGACCUUUCGCUAUUGUAUCAGCCAAUGUCGGAUUAGCUAGUUGGCUGGGUAAAGGCCCACCAAGGCGACGAUCCGUAUCUGGUAUGAGAGGAAGAUUAGAGAGACUGGAAGAGAGAAACGGUACAGACACCGAGGGGAGGAAGCAGUGGGGAAUAUUGGACAAUGGAGGAAAGGCUGAUACAGCAAAACCGCGUGAGUGAAGAAGGAGUUAGGGUGGUAAAGCGAUGUUGUUGGGAAAGAAAAGCAGCAGGUUAAUACGCGACGGUUAUGACGGUACCCAAAGAAUAAGCACCGGCUAACUUCGUG
rnacentral:rRNA from 1 species